GAAUAUUGGACAAUGGGGGGAACCCUGAUCCAGCCAUGCCGCGUGUGUGAAGACGGCCUUUUGGUUGUAACGCACUUUAAGCGAGGAGGAGGCUACCUGGAUUAAUACUUUAGGAUCGUGGACGUUACUCGCAGAAUAAGCACCGGCUAGCUCUGUGCCAGCAGCCGCGGUAAUACAGAGGGGGCGAGCGUUAAGCGGAUUUACUGGGCGUAAAGCGUGCGUAGGCGGCCAAUUAAGUCAAAUGUGAAAUCCCCGAGCUUAACUUGGGAAGUGCAUUCGAUACUGGGUGGCUAGAGUAUGGGAGAGGAUGGUAGAAUUCCAGGUGUAGCGGUGAAAUGCGUAGAGAUCUGGAGGAAUACCGAUGGCGAAGGCAGCCAUCUGGCCUAAUACUGACGCUGAGGUACGAAAGCAUGGGGAGCAAACAG
rnacentral:rRNA from 1 species